GCGGAGGAAAAGAAACUAACAAGGAUUCCCCUAGUAGCGGCGAGCGAAGCGGGAAGAGCUCAAAUUUAUAAUCUGGCACCUUCGGUGUCCGAGUUGUAAUCUCUAGAAAUGUUUUCCGCGUUGGACCGCACACAAGUCUGUUGGAAUACAGCGGCAUAGUGGUGAGACCCCCGUAUAUGGUGCGGACGCCCAGCGCUUUGUGAUACAUUUUCGAAGAGUCGAGUUGUUUGGGAAUGCAGCUCAAAUUGGGUGGUAAAUUCCAUCUAAAGCUAAAUAUUGGCGAGAGACCGAUAGCGAACAAGUACCGUGAGGGAAAGAUGAAAAGCACUUUGGAAAGAGAGUUAACAGUACGUGAAAUUGUUGGAAGGGAAACGCUUGAAGUCAGACUUGCUUGCCGAGCAAUCGGUUUGCAGGCCAGCAUCAGUUUUCCGGGAUGGAUAAUGGUAGAGAGAAGGUAGCAGUUUCGGCUGUGUUAUAGCUCUCUGCUGGAUACAUCUUGGGGGACUGAGGAACGCAGUGUGCCUUUGGCGGGGGUUUCGACCUCUUCACACUUAGGAUGCUGGUGGAAUGGCUUUAAACGACCCGUCUUGAAACACGGACCAAGGAGUCUAACAUGCUUGCGAGUAUUUGGGUGUCAAACCCGGAUGCGUAAUGAAAGUGAAUGGAGGUGGGAACCGCAAGGUGCACCAUCGACCGAUCUGGAUUUUUAAUGAUGGAUUUGAGUAAGAGCACGUAUGUUGGGACCCGAAAGAUGGUGAACUAUGCCUGAAUAGGGCGAAGCCAGAGGAAACUCUGGUGGAGGCUCGUAGCGGUUCUGACGUGCAAAUCGAUCGUCAAAUUUGGGUAUAGGGCGAAA
rnacentral:rRNA from 1 species